rnacentral:rRNA from 1 species
UACGAAGGGGGCUAGCGUUGCUCGGAAUUACUGGGCGUAAAGCGCACGUAGGCGGUUCGGUAAGUCGGGUGUGAAACCUCCAGGCUCAACCUGGAGACGCCACCCGAUACUGCUGUGACUUGAGUCCGGUAGGGGAGCGUGGAAUUCCUGGUGUAGCGGUGAAAUGCGCAGAUAUCAGGAGGAACACCAGCGGCGAAGGCGGCGCUCUGGGCCGGAACUGACGCUGAGGAGCGAAAGCGUGGGUAGCAAACAGG